CAAAAAAUAGUUUAAAAUAUAUGAAUAUUAAUUUUGGAGAUUAAAGGUAUAAAAUAAAUUUUAUUUUUUUGA
rnacentral:tRNA from 1 species